UCUAAAAUGGCAGAAUAGUGCAAUAGAUUUAAGACCUAUACAUAAAGAUUUAUCUUUUUUUAGAA
rnacentral:tRNA from 1 species